rnacentral:rRNA from 1 species
CCUACGGGGAGCAGCAGUCGAGAAUCAUUCACAAUGGGGGAAACCCUGAUGGUGCGACGCCGCGUGGGGGAAUGAAGGUCUUCGGAUUGUAAACCCCUGUCAUGUGGGAGCAAAUUAAAAAGAUAGUACCACAAGAGGAAGAGACGGCUAACUCUGUGCCAGCAGCCGCGGUAAUACAGAGGUCUCAAGCGUUGUUCGGAAUCACUGGGCGUAAAGCGUGCGUAGGCUGUUUCGUAAGUCGUGUGUGAAAGGCGCGGGCUCAACCCGCGGACGGCACAUGAUACUGCGAGACUAGAGUAAGGAGGGGGGAACGGGAAUGCUGGGUGUAGCAGUGAAAUGCGUAGUGAUCGGGGGGAAC